rnacentral:rRNA from 1 species
UACGGAGGGGGUUAGCGUUGUUCGGAAUGACUGGGCGUAAAGCGCGCGUAGGCGGAUCAGGAAGUUGGGGGUGAAAUCCCGGGGCUCAACCCCGGAAUGGCCUUCAAAACUCCUGGUCUUGAGUUCGAGAGAGGUGAGUGGAAUUCCGAGUGUAGAGGUGAAAUUCGUAGAUAUUCGGAGGAACACCAGUGGCGAAGGCGGCUCACUGGCUCGACACUGACGCUGAGGUGCGAAAGCCAGGGGAGCGAACGGG